rnacentral:rRNA from 1 species
AACGAACGCUGGCGGCAGGCUUAACACAUGCAAGUCGAACGGGUGUAGCAAUACAUCAGUGGCAGACGGGUGAGUAACACGUGGGAACCUUCCUAGGGGUACGGAACAACUCAGGGAAACUUGAGCUAAUACCGUAUACGUCCGUAAGGAGAAAGAUUCAUCGCCCCUAGACGGGCCCGCGUCGGAUUAGGUAGUUGGUGGGGUAACGGCCUACCAAGCCUACGAUCCGUAGCUGAUCUGAGAGGAUGAUCAGCCACACUGGGACUGAGACACGGCCCAGACUCCUACGGGAGGCAGCAGUGGGAAUCUUGGACAAUGGGCGCAAGCCUGAUCCAGCCAUGCCGCGUGAGUGAAGAAGGCCUUAGGGUUGUAAAGCUCUUUUACCAGGGACGAUAAUGACGGUACCUGGAGAAUAAG